rnacentral:ribozyme from 14 species
ACUUUUUUUUUUUUUUUUAAAUUUCAUUAUUUUUUCCUUAGUUUUAAGAAAAACUAUGUAUUGAGUGCCUCCGAUAGAGAAGGUGGGACCUGAAAAAAAUGAUGAAUAUGACAAUAAUUGUUGUCUUCAUUUGUGGUAAUCUUAUCUAAAAAAGUCACCAGAUAAACAUAGAUUUC